rnacentral:rRNA from 1 species
UUAAGCGACUAAGCGUACACGGUGGAUGCCCUGGCAGUCAGAGGCGAUGAAGGACGUGCUAAUCUGCGAUAAGCGUCGGUAAGGUGAUAUGAACCGUUAUAACCGGCGAUUUCCGAAUGGGGAAACCCAGUGUGUUUCGACACACUAUCAUUAACUGAAUCCAUAGGUUAAUGAGGCGAACCGGGGGAACUGAAACAUCUAAGUACCCCGAGGAAAAGAAAUCAACCGAGAUUCCCCCAGUAGCGGCGAGCGAACGGGGAGCAGCCCAGAGCCUGAAUCAGUGUGUGUGUUAGUGGAAGCGUCUGGAAAGGCGCGCGAUACAGGGUGACAGCCCCGUACACAAAAAUGCACAUAUUGUGAGCUCGAUGAGUAGGGCGGGACACGUGGUAUCCUGUCUGAAUAUGGGGGGACCAUCCUCCAAGGCUAAAUACUCCUGACUGACCGAUAGUGAACCAGUACCGUGAGGGAAAGGCGAAAAGAACCCCGGCGAGGGGAGUGAAAAAGAACCUGAAACCGUGUACGUACAAGCAGUGGGAGCCUCUUUUAUGGGGUGACUGCGUACCUUUUGUAUAAUGGGUCAGCGACUUAUAUUCUGUAGCAAGGUUAACCGAAUAGGGGAGCCGAAGGGAAACCGAGUCUUAACUGGGCGUUAAGUUGCAGGGUAUAGACCCGAAACCCGGUGAUCUAGCCAUGGGCAGGUUGAAGGUUGGGUAACACUAACUGGAGGACCGAACCGACUAAUGUUGAAAAAUUAGCGGAUGACUUGUGGCUGGGGGUGAAAGGCCAAUCAAACCGGGAGAUAGCUGGUUCUCCCCGAAAGCUAUUUAGGUAGCGCCUCGUGAACUCAUCUCCGGGGGUAGAGCACUGUUUCGGCAAGGGGGUCAUCCCGACUUACCAACCCGAUGCAAACUGCGAAUACCGGAGAAUGUUAUCACGGGAGACACACGGCGGGUGCUAACGUCCGUCGUGAAGAGGGAAACAACCCAGACCGCCAGCUAAGGUCCCAAAGUCAUGGUUAAGUGGGAAACGAUGUGGGAAGGCCCAGACAGCCAGGAUGUUGGCUUAGAAGCAGCCAUCAUUUAAAGAAAGCGUAAUAGCUCACUGGUCGAGUCGGCCUGCGCGGAAGAUGUAACGGGGCUAAACCAUGCACCGAAGCUGCGGCAGCGACACUAUGUGUUGUUGGGUAGGGGAGCGUUCUGUAAGCCUGUGAAGGUGUACUGUGAGGUAUGCUGGAGGUAUCAGAAGUGCGAAUGCUGACAUAAGUAACGAUAAAGCGGGUGAAAAGCCCGCUCGCCGGAAGACCAAGGGUUCCUGUCCAACGUUAAUCGGGGCAGGGUGAGUCGACCCCUAAGGCGAGGCCGAAAGGCGUAGUCGAUGGGAAACAGGUUAAUAUUCCUGUACUUGGUGUUACUGCGAAGGGGGGACGGAGAAGGCUAUGUUGGCCGGGCGACGGUUGUCCCGGUUUAAGCGUGUAGGCUGGUUUUCCAGGCAAAUCCGGAAAAUCAAGGCUGAGGCGUGAUGACGAGGCACUACGGUGCUGAAGCAACAAAUGCCCUGCUUCCAGGAAAAGCCUCUAAGCAUCAGGUAACAUCAAAUCGUACCCCAAACCGACACAGGUGGUCAGGUAGAGAAUACCAAGGCGCUUGAGAGAACUCGGGUGAAGGAACUAGGCAAAAUGGUGCCGUAACUUCGGGAGAAGGCACGCUGAUAUGUAGGUGAAGUCCCUCGCGGAUGGAGCUGAAAUCAGUCGAAGAUACCAGCUGGCUGCAACUGUUUAUUAAAAACACAGCACUGUGCAAACACGAAAGUGGACGUAUACGGUGUGACGCCUGCCCGGUGCCGGAAGGUUAAUUGAUGGGGUCAGCGCAAGCGAAGCUCUUGAUCGAAGCCCCGGUAAACGGCGGCCGUAACUAUAACGGUCCUAAGGUAGCGAAAUUCCUUGUCGGGUAAGUUCCGACCUGCACGAAUGGCGUAAUGAUGGCCAGGCUGUCUCCACCCGAGACUCAGUGAAAUUGAACUCGCUGUGAAGAUGCAGUGUACCCGCGGCAAGACGGAAAGACCCCGUGAACCUUUACUAUAGCUUGACACUGAACAUUGAGCCUUGAUGUGUAGGAUAGGUGGGAGGCUUAGAAGUGUGGACGCCAGUCUGCAUGGAGCCGACCUUGAAAUACCACCCUUUAAUGUUUGAUGUUCUAACGUUGACCCGUGAUCCGGGUUGCGGACAGUGUCUGGUGGGUAGUUUGACUGGGGCGGUCUCCUCCUAAAGAGUAACGGAGGAGCACGAAGGUUGGCUAAUCCUGGUCGGACAUCAGGAGGUUAGUGCAAUGGCAUAAGCCAGCUUGACUGCGAGCGUGACGGCGCGAGCAGGUGCGAAAGCAGGUCAUAGUGAUCCGGUGGUUCUGAAUGGAAGGGCCAUCGCUCAACGGAUAAAAGGUACUCCGGGGAUAACAGGCUGAUACCGCCCAAGAGUUCAUAUCGACGGCGGUGUUUGGCACCUCGAUGUCGGCUCAUCACAUCCUGGGGCUGAAGUAGGUCCCAAGGGUAUGGCUGUUCGCCAUUUAAAGUGGUACGCGAGCUGGGUUUAGAACGUCGUGAGACAGUUCGGUCCCUAUCUGCCGUGGGCGCUGGAGAACUGAGGGGGCUGCUCCUAGUACGAGAGGACCGGAGUGGACGCAUCACUGGUGUUCGGGUUGUCAUGCCAAUGGCACUGCCCGGUAGCUAAAUGCGGAAGAGAUAAGUGCUGAAAGCAUCUAAGCACGAAACUUGCCCCGAGAUGAGUUCUCCCUGACCCUUUAAGGGUCCUGAAGAACGUUGAAGACGACGACGUUGAUAGGCCGGGUGUGUAAGCGCAGCGAUGCGUUGAGCUAACCGGUACUAAUGAACCGUGAGGCUUAACCUU